rnacentral:lncRNA from 1 species
GCAAGCCCAAGAGGCUCAGUGGUUUAGACCACAGCACCACCCGUGUCCCUGAAGCUGGCAGUAACAGUGGGCAGAGGCAGUCAUUGUCUGGCAUCCCAAAGACAUAGCAGUUGCAUGUGAGUUCUGAUCAUCUUUUUCCAUUGAACUGAGUCCAAACUAUUCUAUGAUUCCCUAACAUUUUUGGCAUUGUCAGAAACAACAACUUCCAAUUCUGAUUUUUAUAACAUUUUUUGGGGGGGGAGGGUGUGUAUGCUUCCCCAUUCAUAAACAUUGCCCUUGCUUGUGCUCAUUUCUGCUUGUAUUCAUUGAAACAGGUAGAAGUUUGAUGUAGACACACAAAGCAGGCAGAGGAGUCACAUGGCUCCAGGCUGAGUAUGCAUUUCUGCAGCUUCACUCCACUCAUGUUCCUUCUUCCAAUGAUAAUAUCCGAGGAGGGCUAUAGCUGCUUCUGAUUGGCCAUUAAGCAAACUGAUAUCAUCCCUUUCAACCUUCAAAUUCAUUUGGAUUGCUCACAGACUGAUUGAUUUGAUGGAGGAAGAUGAUAUAUAAAUCCUGUCAAAGGCCUGAUGCAAUUUACAAUACACAAAAAUACAGAAUAGAGCCCCUGUAACCAAGCCAGGAAGUUGGAGGGUGCAGCAACCAGGAUCAGCAAUGAUUGAGCAAACAGCAGGAGUAAGUUGAUCUGAACAGCACUGUGAAAGGAGGUGAAUAUUUCCAUGAUCUAUCAACAAGUUUCUUGGAGGGGGAUUUCCAUCCUUACAAAAUGGCUUUCUUCUGGGAUAUAUUUUUUAAAAAAAGACUGUUCAGCAUGGAGAUCAUUUCCCAAACUUUUCAUGGUCCGUACAUAAAAUGUAGUCUCAGCCCCUAUAGCAUGAAACUGGCCCGAAUUCUCCCCCAUCCAUAUUUCCUAGUUAAAGGGGUUUUGUCAGCAUUGCCAUUAUCAGCAGCUGGGAAAGUCCAAAACACUGAUCACUUUAUUUAUUGAUGCUGAGCUUGCCAUGUGGCAAUGGGUGAAAUUUGCAGAGACUGCCCUUUAACAAAGAUAUGCAGUCAGCAAACCAUCUUAUCUUAUGUAUAUAUGUGUGGCAUCAAAUAUCCCAAUGGAUCUCAUCAAGCAAGCUUCAUGCAAAUACGUGAGCACUACUAACUGACCUUUGUAGACUCAGCAUUAAAUUUACUAUUUGGAUGAAAAA